rnacentral:rRNA from 1 species
GACGAACGCUGACGGCGUGCUUAACACAUGCAAGUCGAAGGGAGUGGCGAACGGGUGAGUAACGCGUGAGUAACCUGCCCUUUUCUUUGGGAUAAGACUGGGAAACUGGGUCUAAUACUGGAUGGAUUUGGAUGGGGUCGGGGCUUAUCAGCUUGUUGGUGGGGUGAGGGCUUACCAAGGCUUUGACGGGUAGCCGGCCUGCGGGGGGGGUCGGUAACACUGGGACGGAGAUACGGCCCCGAGUCGUACGGGAGGGAGCAGUGGGGGAUAUUGCACAAUGGACGAAAGGCUGAUGCAGCGGCGUCGUGUGGGGGAUGAAGGCCUUCGGGUUGUAAACUCCUUUCGCCCGCGGAAUGGUAGUGGGUAAAGAAGCGCCGGCUAACUACGUGCCAGCAGCCGCGGUAAUAC